GUACCUUCAAAAUACAUUGCUAGGUGAUGAUUCAUGUUAUCAUGUUAGAGCCUGGUCCAGAGUUUACAAAACAAUACUAAUUUGGGUGAGCCAAGAUGAUUUUCAUAAACCAUUGAGAUGUUUUGUAGAGAAAACACAGUUGGUGCCACUUCUUAGACUUACAUUGCUUUACUUGAACUAAAUUUAAGGUCAUUCAUGAAGGGUUCCCACUCAAUAUCAGAUCAUGGGUGGCAGAGUGUGUGGACAUAGAGUAAGCUUCACUCUUUG